rnacentral:rRNA from 1 species
AGCAGUAGCCGCGGUAAUACAGAGGGUGCGAGCGUUAAUCGGAUUUUCUGGGCGUAAAGCGUGCGUAGGCGGCUUCUUAAGUCGGAUGUGAAAUCCCUGAGCUUAACUUAGGAAUUGCAUUCGAUACUGGGAAGCUAGAGUAUGGGAGAGGAUGGUAGAAUUCCAGGUGUAGCGGUGAAAUGCGUAGAGAUCUGGAGGAAUACCGAUGGCGAAGGCAGCCAUCUGGCCUAAUACUGACGCUGAGGUACGAAAGCAUGGGGAGCAAACAGGAUUAGAUACCCCCGUAGUCCCUGUCUCUUAUAC